rnacentral:lncRNA from 1 species
CAGUUGGCAGUAAGCAGGCAUUUUCCAGAAGAAUCCCGAAGGCAAAUACUCUGUUCUGCUCUCAGUUAACCUGUGCUACUGUCAGACCACAUACACUGUAGAGUUCAGAGGUAGCUGCUAUGGGAGUGAAUCUUCUUGCUGCUGCCAAAGACGGGCCGCAUGUCCCAGGGUUUCUGCUGAGCAACCAGUCAGCGUGCUGCUGAGCACCCGGGCCCGAUGUGAAAUGGUCAGCUCCUUUCCUUCUACCAGUGCCAACUGCUGCACCUGCCAGCCUCUGCCUAGCCUCCACCACUGAUGCUGCUGUAAGAGGAAGAAGAUUCCUGUCUUAACAGAAUUCUCAUGCAUGCCUUUCAAACCGAGGAGCUCACAGGCUGACGGAAGAGGAUGACAGGGAGUGGAGGCAGCUGCACUCGGGUGUUUAUAGUGCACAUACAUGAUUCAUCUCAAACCAGACAAGCCAUGCUGCACCCGACGGCUCGCCAUUUCUCAGAGAUGCCAAGCCUUCUUACAACUCUGAGCCUCUGCAUGUGUCUAGAACAUUUUACCCAUAUUUCUCUACCUGCUGGACUCCUUUCCAUCCUUCAAAACUCAGACCAAAUGUCCUUGCUCUGUGAAACCCUCCUUCUUCCCAGGGGACUCCUGCAGGCCAGCAGCAGGGACGGACUCACCUCCCUGUGCCCUCUCCCAGCAGAUGACCUCAGCCCUCACAGUUGAAGAAGUUGGCCUGCAGGCAUGCGGAGGGAGUGCCCGCUGGAACCCAGGGCCAGGACAGGGCCUGUGCAGAGGAGUCCACCUUCAGCAAGACGGACCACCAAUACUCUGCGACUUAGAGAAGGAGACUGAGGAAUAAAUGCCCAGACCGUACUCCGCUCCUGCCCUCCUGGUUUCCUGCCAGAGUCUCCCCUUGUCUGAAGCCAACCUGAAGACACCCCUUGAGGACCCCUUCACUGUACUGGGACCAUGGGGGGCUGAGCCUCUGGGAUCAGUCACCUCCCUAACCUCCUGCAUGAGGAACAACUUGACGAACACACAUUUCAACCUGUAACAGGGUGGACAAGCAGAACCCUUCUUCAGAAGCACAUUUAUGAAGUUCCCGCAGUAACUGGCUCAGAGAGAAAUGCUGCUGUAACAGCUGAGAGAAAACUGAUAACCCUGAAAAUAAAGUGUCCAUGGAAAUCUCAUAUAUUGCCUAUUGUUUAAAAACAAUGUCUCACAUAAAAGAGGUGAUGGAUUAGUUUCUUUCAUUAUGCUGCCUCAAG